UGGGGAAUAUUGCACAAUGGACGGAAGUUUGAUGCAGCGACGCCGCGUGGAGGGUGUAGGCCUUCGGGUUGUGAACUCCUUUUUCUCGCGAAAAAGGCACAGUUUUGGCUGUGUUGAUGGUAGUGGGGGAAGAAGCGCCGGCUAACUACGUGCCAGCAGCCGCGGUAAUACGUAGGGCGCGAGCGUUGUCCGGAUUUAUUGGGCGUAAAGAGCUCGUAGGUGGUUCGUCGCGUCUGUCGUGAAAGCCAGCAGCUUAACUGUUGGUCUGCGGUGGGUACGUGCGGGCUUGAGUGCGGUAGGGGUGACUGGAAUUCCUGGUGUAGCGGUGGAAUGCGCAGAUAUCAGGAGGAACACCGAUGGCGAAGGCAGGUCACUGGGCCGUUACUGACACUGAGGAGCGAAAGCGUGGGGAGCGAACAGG
rnacentral:rRNA from 1 species